rnacentral:rRNA from 1 species
ACACGUAGGUAACCUACCCUCAGGACUGAGAUAACCCCGGGAAACUGGGGCUAAUAUUAGAUAGAUAAAAGAUACUGGAAUGUUCUUUUAUCCAAAGCUUUUGCGCCUGAGGAUGGGCCUGCGUCCGAUUAGGUUGUUGGUGGGGUAAUGGCCCACCAAGCCUGCGAUCGGUACGGGCAGUGGGAGCUGAAGCCCGGAGUUGGGGACUGAGACAAGGCCCCAGGCCCUACGGGGCGCAGCAGGCGCGAAACCUCUGCAAUGCGGGAAACCGUGACAGGGGGAUCCCAAGUGCUCAUGCAUUGCAUGGGCUGUU